rfam:Myotis davidii contig208519, whole genome shotgun sequence.
GGCAGUUCUCGAGUGAUGCGCCCCAGAAUCAGUCUCCCUCCUUUCUGGUUCCAGGUGUGUCACCCAAGAACUGCA